CCAUUAUCGACUUUCCUGUGAGGUCACCAAGACAGCGGCCAGCCAGGGACGAGAACCACAAGAGGUGGAGGAGAAUGAGGAAGAGGAAGGGCGGUGGAGAGGCGGAAGAAGAGUGGAGGAGGAGGCUGUGUGGAGAGGUGGUGUGCUGGAUGGAGACUGGACAACGGUAUCUGGUGUGCUGGAUGAAGCCUUGACAACGGUAUCUUCACACGCCUGGCAGAGGACAACCAAGAAAAGAAGAAGAAGAAGAAGAGAAGAAGGCUAUCACACAUACAGGAAUUGCAGCAUCAAGAGGAAAGAUUCAGGUUAUAUAUAAAUUUAAAAUGCAAGGAAUAUUUCACAGUGUAAUGUACCGGGUUAUAUUCUUACAUGCAUGUAUGUACUAUGUGAUAUGUUUACGCAUCUACGAAGGCAAUAUAUUUAAACGUAACAUCCCGGGUUAUAUAUUUGUAAGUGUAUGUACUACGCGAUAUAUUUUAAGGGUAAGGUACUGGGUAAGUGUAUGUACGAAGCGAUAUAUUUUAAGCGUAAGGUACUGGGUUAUAUCUGUAAGUGU